rnacentral:rRNA from 1 species
GUGGGGAAUCUUCCGCAAUGGACGAAAGUCUGACGGAGCGACGCCGCGUGAGUGAAGAAGGCCUUCGGGUCGUAAAGCUCUGUCAUCAGGGACGAACGGCCGGUGGAGUGGAAAGCCACCGGAUUGAUGGUACCUGAGAAGGAAGCCACGGCUAACUACGUGCCAGCAGCCGCGGUAAUACGUAGGUGGCAAGCGUUGUCCGGAAUUAUUGGGCGUAAAGCGCGCGCAGGUGGGAUCUUAAGUCCAUUUUUAAAGUUCGGAGCUCAACUCCGUGAUGGGAUGGAAACUGGGAUUCUUGAGUACCGGAGAGGAAAGCGGAAUUCCCCGUGUAGCGGUGAAAUGCGUAGAUAUGGGGAGGAACACCAGUGGCGAAGGCGGCUUUCUGGACGGUGUCUGACACUGAGGCGCGAAAGCCAGGGGAGCGAACGGGAUUAGAUACCCCGGUAGUCC